AUAUUGCUGAGCCCAGUACCUAGCUAGUGUGACUCAACUCUUCUUUCUAGGUUCUGCCUGCAGCAGAGAUUGUAACAUGUUGCUGGGCACCCUGGUGUUUGCCCAUGAGAGACAUUGUGACGCAUUUCUGGACCCAGCACCUAGGUGAUGUCUUCCUGGGACCUGUCUAUAUGGGUAUUGUUAUACAUCACAUGGCCCAGUACUUACUUGAUGUGACUCUCCUCUCACGCCUAGACCCUGCUCACAGGUAUGAUUGUGACACAUAGCUUGACCAAGCCCCUAGGUCAUGUUACUCUCCUCUUCUUCUUGAGCCUUUCCCACAGGUGAUGAUACACUCUACUUAUGCCUGGGCCUUAACAAAAAGAGGGAUUGGGACAUAUCCCUGGACCCUGAACCUAAGAGGUGGAGGUUGCAGUGAGCCAAGAUUACACCACUGCACUCCAGCCGUGGUGACAGAGUGAGACUUCACCAAAACAAAACAAAAAAAACAACAAAAAAAGACGGGGUUUCACCGUGUUAGCCGGGAUGGUCUCGAUCUCCUGACUUCGUGAUCCGCCCGCCUCAGCCUUCCAAAGUUCUGGGAUUGCAGGCAUGAGCCACUGCACCCGGCCAGGGGGUACUUUCUGCCCACAAAUGAGAUUGUGACAUAUCAUGGCAUCUAACCCUAAGGUGAUGUUACUUCUUUGCUCUGGCUGUGCCCUUAGAAAACACUGAAACAUACUGCUGGGUCCAGCACCAAGAUUAUGUGAGUUAUCUGCCUGAACCCUGACCACAGGAAGCAUUGUAACAUACCCCUUGACCCAUUGCAAUUUCACCUAUGGGCAAAGCCCAGGGGGCCUUGUGAUGUAUUUCUGUAUCCAUCACCCAGGAGAUGAAACUGUCUACUUCUGCAUUCUGCCCACUCGGAAGAUUGUGACAAUCAUUGGGCCCAGCAACCAGAGCCCACUGGUGAGGUCCUGAAUCACACGUGAAUGCAGUUCACAGUUGGAAUUUUCACUGUCAUAAGUGAACAUCUGGCCAUAGUUGGAAUGGUGACUCAUUUCUAAACCCAGCUAGUAGGAAGGUGAGGACUCUCCUAUCUGGACUCAAAAAAUUGGAGAGAUGUUGACUGUCAUAUCUGGACGCAGAACCACAGGAAAGACUCUGGAUCUCCUUCCUGUAUGAAGGUCACAGAGGAUCACCAUUCUUGCAUAUUGUAUAAAGCCUUCAGGUGACACAGAGAGUGUCAUAAGAGAACACAGCACACAGGUGGGCUAGUGACUCUCAGACCAAGAUUCAGCACACAUGUGAGGUUGUAACUGCACUGAAAGGACAAGUCUGCAGAAUAAACUGCGGCUGUCUUGCAAAAAUUCUGUCAACCAUUGAGACUGUGACUCACACGCUUAGAUCCAACAUCCAAGGCUGGGCGCGGUGGCUCACGCCUGUAAUCCCAGCACUUUGAAAGGCCAAUGCAGGCAGAUCACCGGAAAUCAGGAGUUCAAGACCAUCCUGGCCAACAUGGUGAAACCCCAUCUCUACUAAAAAUACACAAAUUAGCCGGGUGUGGUGGCAGGCACCUGUAAUCCCAGCUACUUGGGAGGCUGACACAGGAGAAUCGCUUGAACCCAGGAGGUGGAGGUUGCAGUGAGCUGAGAUCACACCAUUGCACCCCAGCCUGGGGGACAAGAGCGAGACUUCAUCUCAAAAAAACAAAAGCAAAAACAAAAUAAAUAAAUAGAUCCAACAUCCAGGUGGUGUUGACUCUCAUACCUAGAA
rnacentral:lncRNA from 1 species